GUCAGUUUGUCAUAGUGGUUUGAGUGUUAAACUACAACUCUGGAGACCAGGGUUCGAAUCCCAGCUCGGUCA